rnacentral:rRNA from 1 species
CGUAGGUCCCGAGCGUUGUCCGGAUUUAUUGGGCGUAAAGCGAGCGCAGGCGGUUAGAUAAGUCUGAAGUUAAAGGCUGUGGCUUAACCAUAGUACGCUUUGGAAAACUGUUUAACUUGAGUGCAAGAGGGGAGAGUGGAGUUCCAUGUGUAGCGGUAGAAAUGCGUAGAUAUAUGGAGGAACACCGGUGGACGAAAGCGGCUCUCUGGCUUGUAACUGACGCUGAGGCUCGAAAGCGUGGGGGAGCAAACAGGAUU